rnacentral:rRNA from 1 species
CUAUGUCGGCGACCGGCGCACGGGUGCGUAACGCGUAUGCAACCUACCCAUUACAGGGGGAUAACACUGAGAAAUCGGUACUAAUACCCCAUAACAUCCAGGGAGGCAUCUUCUUGGGUUGAAAACUCCGGUGGUAAUGGAUGGGCAUGCGUUGUAUUAGUUAGUUGGUGGGGUAACGGCUCACCAAGACAACGAUACAUAGGGGGACUGAGAGGUUAACCCCCCCACAUUGGUACUGAGACACGGACCAAACUCCUACGGAAGGCAGCAG